UUGUAGUAGUAAUAUGCAAGAUUAGUACACAAAAAGAGGGAAUACAAAACAAGAAUAUUUUGUUGCCUAAAAGAUGUAGCUAGCUAGUUGAGUGAGUGACAAAAUAAUGGUUCAAAUUGGGAACACCCUAGCUAGCUAGCUACACCGGCCUCAUCAAUGCUAAUUAAGCUGCAAUAUCAACAACUUUAUAUCUUCAUAUAUAUUAAUUCAUUCUUCUCAUCUCUCACAUCUCCCUUUCUUCUCACCAAAAUACUUUGUAACUAUGAGGACUAUUCAUGGAGACUUGUAUGAUAAUAUCUACAAACAACCGACUCUUCUCGAACCAAAACUGGGGACGGAAAGAAAUAAGAGGACCAUCGCGAAGGAGCUGGAAAGACAAAGAUUGAAAGCUAUGCAAUCAAAAAAGGCACACAAAUCAGGUGUUUUCAUGAUAGAGGAAUUUUGGUUGAACAAGGAAGGAUGUCCAUUUGGAACUGUGCCUAUACGCAAAAUAGCAAAGAAACAACUCCAAAGUGCUGGAGAUGCCUCCUCGAGCUUGGCUUAUGAAUACUUUGGAUAUAAAUGGAUUGAUUUUGCAGGAAUUUUUAUAAAAGCGUCUCCACCGAUAGACAUAUUUUUUGGGGUCUCAGCUUUUCUUUGUUUAUACAAUCCUCAAGUAAGUGGAACUGGCUCAUACAGUGCUUCAACCAUUUUUCUCCAAAACGGGAAUGAACAAAUCUUCGAGCAAAUACAAGUGGGAUAGAUUGUGCAUCCAAGGUUGUACGGUGACACCCGAACUCGAUUGUUUACCACGUGGACAGUAAGUAUAUUUUUAAAUAAACUAAUUAAUUUUGGAAAACAAAAUAAUCAACAAAUACUUGAAUAGGUGGAUGGGUAUCAAAAAACAGGAUGUUACAACACUCAGUGUCCAGGAUUUAUUCUAUUGAGCCGAGUAAUACCUAUAGAUCAUGCUUUUCCAAGGACCUCCGACAUAGAAACUAAUUACAAAGAGGAAGUGCUUCUCAGACGGAAUAUGUUGAUUAUCAUCUUGUAAUGCCGGUAAUGAACGAGGAGAUAGGAAUGUGGCCCUAUGAAGUGUUCAACAGAUUGAGCGCAAAUGCAGCGAACUUGGUGCAAUACGGAGGAAAAGUGUACACACCGGCAGGCGAAGAUAUUAGCCUUCCUAUGGGAAAUGGUCAAUUUAGAGGAGGGCAACGUUACCUAACUAGUUAUAUGCGCAAAGUAUUAUAUGAAAUACAAGUAGAUGGCCACAAAGAACAAGUUCCACCAGAUGACUCUAAGGUUGGAUCUAAACUCUAAAGAGUUAAGGUGUUACUACGAAGGAAAUCAUUAUAAUGAGAAUGAUGGAUGUUGGGACUAUUCUUUUAUAUUUUGGGGUAGAGGUGGUAAAGAUCAAGGGAAUGGUUGUAUAUAUUUGAAAAUGGAAAAGGUACCCUACUAUAUAUGUACCUUGACUUUAAUUUGAAGGUUUAAACAUGAAUGCUAACCGUCUUUGAACCUAAAA